rnacentral:rRNA from 1 species
CGAACGGGUCCAGGCGCUAACUGGACUACACAUACACACGGUCAAUCAACCGAUAUUGGCAUGAUCACGGUUCGAUUCCGUGAAUCGGCGUUAGGCGGCCACAGCGGCGAGGUUCCUCCCGUACCCAUCCCGAACACGGAAGAUAAGCUCGCCUGCGUAUCGGCAACUACUGGAGUGGGCGACCCUCUGGGAACGUCGAUUCGCCGCCCCAC